GACGAACGCUGGCGGCGUGCUUAACACAUGCAAGUCGAACGGAAAGGCCCUGUUUUUGUGGCGUGCGCGAGUGGCGAACGGGUGAGUAACACGUGAGUAACCUGCGCUUUACUUUGGGAUAACUUCAGGAAACUGGAGCUAAUACCGGAUAUAAGCUCCUGCUGCAUGGGGGGUGUGGUAGAGUGUCGGAGGUUCGGGAUGGACUUGCGGCUUAUCAUCUUGUUGGUGGGGUAGUGGCUUACCAAGGCUUUGACGGGUAGCCGGCCUGAGAGGGUGACCGGCCACAUUGGGACUGAGAUACGGGCAGGACUCAUACGGGGGGAAGCAGUGGGGAAUAUUCCAAAAUGGGCGGCAGCCGGAUGCAGCAACGCCGCGUGGGAGAUGACGGUCUUCGGGUUGUAACCCGCUUUAGCCUGUGAAGCAGAGUGAGUGACGGUAAUGGGUAAAGAAGCAACGGCUAACUACGUG
rnacentral:rRNA from 1 species